UAGUACUUAAAAUAUAAGAUUUUAUACUAGCUAGAAUUAUCCCUAAUUCUACACAAUUUCUAUCAAACCAGACUACUGGCUUACUAACUGUUAAUAAGCCUACUAAUUGUUUAUCGAGCUUACAGCUUUAGUUAAUGAUUUGUUAAUUGUGUGAAUUGUACAUUGUGAAAUAAAGUGUUACCGUAAACUUAGUACAGGUAUUGUUCAUUCUUAGUUCAUGUUAGUAAAUACAUUAACUAAUGGAGCCUUAUUGUAAAGUGUAGCCAGUUUCCCUUUUAAUUUAUACUAAAACUUUGUGUGGUUUGUGAGGUUGUGAUGAUACCUUUUAUGCUCAAUUUUUAAUGUUGUCAUUCUGAAAUGAUCUCAUUUCAUCUUCAAAAUUUAUUAUAAGUACUUUAUUUUCUUUGUAAUGCUGUGGUUUAGAUAUUAAAAAAACAAAAAACAAAUAAGGUUUUUUCAGUUCUUUUUUUUUUUCUUAAAAAAAAACUAUCCUACAAAUUCUGUCACCAUUUACUCACCUUUCACUUAGCACAAACAUGUUUGAUUUCCAACAUUCUUUAAAAUAUCUACUUUUGUGUUCAACAGAAGAACUCAAAGCUUAUG
rnacentral:lncRNA from 1 species